rnacentral:rRNA from 1 species
AGCGAACGCUGGCGGCAGGCUUAACACAUGCAAGUCGAGCGGACCUUUCGGGGUCCGCGGCGGACGGGUGAGUAACGCGUGGGAACGUGCCUUCCGGUUCGGAAUAACCCUGGGAAACUAGGGCUAAUACCGGAUACGCCCUUAUGGGGGAAGGUUUACUGCCGGACGAUCGGCCCGCGUCUGAUUAGCUUGUUGGUGGGGUAACGGCCUACCAAGGCGACGAUCAGUAGCUGGUCUGAGAGGAUGAUCCGCCACACUGGGACUGAGACACGGCCCAGACUCCUACGGGAGGCAGGAGUGGGGAAUAUUGGACAAUGGGCGCAAGCCUGAUCCAGCCAUGCCGCGUGAGUGAUGAAGGCCGUAGGGUUGUAAAGCUCGUUUAUCCGGGACGAUAAUGACGGUACCGGAGGAAUAAGCCCCGGCUAACUUCGUG